rnacentral:misc_RNA from 1 species
UACGAUGGGGAGAGGGGCACGGCUUCAUCGAUCCGCUCCAUCGCCGCCGGAUCUCCGCCCCUCUCCCCAUCGUAGAUCGGGAACACAAUGUCGUCAAUCACUCUUCCAACUGCCUGUCUGCUCCGAAGCAGCAUCAAAUAUCCAGAGAGCAAAAUGCUUAUGAAGGCCCCUUCAUCCCUCACCUCCUUGAGGAGCAUCUCUAAACCUUCUCGGCUGAAGUCUUCAAAUGGCUUCAGGGCUUCUGCAAUGGCUACCUACAAGGUGAAGCUUGUUGGGCCAGAAGGGGAGGAACAUGAGUUUGAGGCCCCAGAUGACACAUACAUUCUGGACGCAGCUGAGCUUGCAGGGUUGGAGCUGCCAUACUCUUGCAGAGCUGGGGCUUGCUCAACCUGUGCUGGUCACAUGGUGUCAGGUGCUGUUGAUCAGUCGGACGGAUCAUUCCUCGACGAGGGACAGAUGGAAAAGGGUUAUGUUCUGACUUGUGUCGCCUAUCCAACUGCUGAUUGUGUCAUUCACACUCACAAGGAAGGUGACCUGUAUUAAUGACUCAAAGAGGUUAGUUUGUGCUUAUGUAUCUGAAAAAGACUUCUGCUUCUGUUUAGGUGUUUGUGUUUAAGUUCUGUUUCUGGUCGUCUUGGUGUAGAAUGUGAUAUUUGCUCUGGUUGAGAUGGAUUUGUAGGUGGUUGGAAUAUCUAUUGGGAUAUAAG